AGGCUGCAUCCCGCACCUCAAAUGCAUUUCCGCUGGCGCUCAACCGCUGGAAGCUGCGUCUUGCGGCCUAGUCGCCGGGAACCGUGCAGCAUCUUCUCUCGUCGUCCCCUAUGACCUGCAGCCGACAGUCCCGGCGCCCUGGGUCAGUGUGUGAGUUUUGCCUCUCCGCAGCCUCAGUGCCUGGCAGGUUUCCGGUGCUCAGCAACUGUGCAACAACUGCCCAGCAGGAAAGAAGGAAAGGACAGACGCAUCCCGGUGAGGUGGCGUGGCCCAUCAUGUCAUGGAGAAUCAGGGGAAGACUGCUUGUGACCCAGCCAGGGGAGAGAGGAGACCCUGGAGAUGUGUCCCCAUCCUGUCAAGAAGCGGCUGGACCACGUGCUGCUGAGAUGCGUCCACUGUGUGCAGAGGUGUCAUGGAAGUUGUCAUCAGGAGUGGUCUAGACCCCAGUGUCCUUGAGCUUGAAGGAAGACGAGGUAACGUUGGAGAGUUAUCCCUGGUCCUGACCUCCUGCCCCAUGGCCUCCUCGUCACUCUGCGGUGCUGCCUUGGAGGAAGCCUCAGGGAUGGAAGCUCUGGCCUCUCAGGAUGGUGACCUGGGUCCCAGCUCCCCUGGAAGGGCCUCCUCAUGGUUGUUCUGGGGCUGUUCACGGAUGCUGGCGUAGCAGAGUGAAGAGGGGUGUUGCCGCCGAUCAUCACCAGACCUCCUUCUCCUGUUGCCUUAGCACGGUAUGGAAGGGCUUUGUCCCUGUGAGCGGGGCAGAGGGCAAGUCCUGGGACUCUGGGGACUUGGGAUUCAGAACUGGAGACCUUCAGCUGGCUCUGCCCUUCCCAGCAGGUGCCACAGAGCACCGUGGACCCAGAAGUCUGCUUUCCUUCCGUCUGGACCAGGUCAUCCAGUGGCCUCCGUGUCCCCUUGUCUGCUCCUGGUGUAACUUUUUAGAAACAAGAGUUCCCAUUGGAGUCUUCUGUGCUGGGCAUCGUGUCCUCUAACCCACUUCAAUAAAUCUUGAAACUGCC